rnacentral:rRNA from 1 species
GACGAACGCUGGCGGCGUGCCUAAUACAUGCAAGUAGAACGCUGAAGGAGGAGCUUGCUCUUCUGGAUGAGUUGCGAACGGGUGAGUAACGCGUAGGUAACCUGCCUGGUAGCGGGGGAUAACUAUUGGAAACGAUAGCUAAUACCGCAUAACAGUAGAUGUUGCAUGACAUUUGCUUAAAAGGUGCAAUUGCACCACUACCAGAUGGACCUGCGUUGUAUUAGCUAGUUGGUGGGGUAACGGCUCACCAAGGCGCCGAUACAUAGCCGACCUGAGAGGGUGAUCGGCCACACUGGGACUGAGACACGGCCCAGACUCCUACGGGAGGCAGCAGUAGGGAAUCUUCGGCAAUGGACGGAAGUCUGACCGAGCAACGCCGCGUGAGUGAAGAAGGUUUUCGGAUCGUAAAGCUCUGUUGUAAGAGAAGAACGAGUGUGAGAGUGGAAAGUUCACACUGUGACGGUAUCUUACCAGAAAGGGACGGCUAACUACGUG